rnacentral:rRNA from 1 species
GAUGAACGCUGGCGGCGUGCUUAACACAUGCAAGUCGAACGGAAAGGCUCCUGCUUGCAGGGGUACUCGAGUGGCGAGCGGGUGAGUAACACGUGGGUGAUCUGCCCUGCACUUCGGGAUAAGCCUGGGAAACUGGGUCUAAUACCGGAUAGGACGAUGGUUUGGAUGCCAUUGUGGAAAGUUUUUCGGUGUGGGAUGAGCUCGCGGCCUAUCAGCUUGUUGGUGGGGUAAUGGCCUACCAAGGCGUCGACGGGUAGCCGGCCUGAGAGGGUGUACGGCCACAUUGGGACUGAGAUACGGCCCAGACUCCUACGGGAGGCAGCAGUGGGGAAUAUUGCACAAUGGGCGCAAGCCUGAUGCAGCGACGCCGCGUGGGGGAUGACGGCCUUCGGGUUGUAAACUCCUUUCGCUAGGGACGAAGCGCAAGUGACGGUACCUGGAGAAGAAGCACCGGCUAACUACGUG